ACAUGUCAUGUGAGACCCACCGCCCCCCGUCCCAUUCGUCCUCCCCCAAUUCCACCACACAACGGUCCUCCGCUCGCUCUGCCCGUACCGUACUGUUCACAAGGGGGGCGCCCGCCGCCGGCGCUGACCGGAGCGAUCCGCCUCCCCGACUACCGGCCGCGGCGAGGAGAUCCCGGCUGAUCUCCGGUUCCCAGACGCACCUGUCCGGCGCGCCAGCGGGAGGAGGAGGCGUCGGUCGAUCUCUGCGGGGUAAAGACGCGAGCUUGAGCCUGCCUGACUUCUUGCUGGCGGCGGGGGCGAAGGGGAGGGCGGGGGCGGCAGCGGCGGCGAUGCUGCGCCGGAAGUCGCCGUUCGCGGCGGCGCCGGCGGCCGCCAAGCAGGGGGAGGGGGAGGAGGCGCCCGCGCGCAGGCCCGGCGCGCCGCUCUCGCUCGCGGGCGUCCUCGUCUCCAUCUUCCUCGUCGCCAUCUUCCUCUACAACGAGGACUCUGCCGUCGUCAAGGCCCCAAUCGCCGCCGACGCCGGCGCCGGGGACUUCCCGCUCGCCGGGGCCUCGCGCGCCAGGUCCGCCCCCGACCUCCACCUCCUCCACGAGGUCAACUCCCGCCCCCAGCAGCAGCAGCAAGAGGGGAGCGACGAGGAGGAGCGGCGUCGCCAUGUGGAGCAGGUGGAGAGCGGGAGGAAAGCGAGCGACAGCGACAGCAACAGGGUGGAUGCGCCCGCGAGAGCAGACAAGCGCGCCGCCCCGGCCAUGACGGCGACCACCACGCCUCCUCCCAGUCCCAGCAGCGGCGGCAACACCACCAGCAGCAGCAGCAGAGCAGCGGUGGCGGCGCCGGAGCCGCCGGCGUGCAACCUGUACCAGGGGUGGUGGACGUACGACGCGGAGGCGUCGCAGGUGCCGCUGUACCGGGAGCCGGAGUGCGAGUUCCUGACGGAGCAGGUGACCUGCAUGCGCAACGGCCGGCGCGACGACUCGUACCAGCGGUGGCGCUGGCAGCCCUCCUCCUGCGACCUCCCAAGGUUCGACGCGCGGGCGCUGUUGGAGCGGCUGCGGAACAAGAGGCUGAUGUUCGUGGGGGACUCGCUGAACCGGAACCAGUGGGAGUCGAUGGUGUGCCUGGUGUCGUCGGCGAUCCCGUCGCGCGCCCAAAAGUCCCUGGUCAAGUUCGUCGGGCCCAACGGGUCGCUCAACGUGUUCAGGGCGGCGGAGUACAACGCGACGGUGGAGUUCUACUGGGCGCCGUUCCUGGUGAGCUCCAACUCGGACGACCCGCAGGCGCACAGCGUGGCGGACCGGGUGAUCGCGUGGCGGUCCAUCGCCAAGCACGCCCGGCACUGGCGCGCCGCCCACUUCCUCGUCUUCAACACCUACAUCUGGUGGCUCAACAACUUCGAGAUGAAAGUGCUGAAGAAUCCGAGGGCGAUGCCGGAGAAGUACACGCUGGUGGACCGGCCGGUGGCGUACAAGGAGGUGCUCAAGACGUGGGCCAAGUGGGUGGACCGGCACGUCGACCCCGGCCGGACCAAGGUCUUCUUCAUGGGCAUGUCGCCCAACCACGGCGUGUAAGUCACUCAAUCACUCACUCACUCACUCAUCAGCUCUCGAUCAGUACUACUAGCACUUCCAACUUGUUCAUUGCAAAUGGUGGAUUGCGUUCCCCAUUUUCCGGCGAUUUCUUCUGGGUUGGUAGCGGCGUCGGUCACGGGCGGGGCUGGGAUUCCAAAACAAACAGGCUUCUCGGGCAGUGCUAAUCCCCUUGGGGUACUAGACUAUUGUAUUGCCAAUUUGUUUAGUGAUGGCACAAAUCUUGGGCAGUGGUUUCUUGUGGAAGGGAUUUUGACCAUGGCCACGGGUGAAGGGUAAAUAAUCUUGAUCUCUGACUGAGCGAAUGGGUGGCACGUGCUUCACAUUAGGUUAGCUUCCAGCACCAACCACGGUGCCAGAGCCAGAAACUUCACAGGAGGGAGGGGAGGCAUAAAUCCGUAGAACCAGCACAAAAUCCAUCGGAGUGUAGCCGUGAUGGGCGCGCACAGAGCAGUGUGCAUCCGACUGCUUGUGAUCAAUGCGUGCGCGUACUGGCACUGGCAUAAGUAUAGUGAAAUUAAUGCCUGCAUGCAUGCAUCUCUCCAUGACAGUCCCCACUAACCUACUCCAAGAACGUUAGUACUACUGGUAGUAGUAAGGGAAGCCGUCCAAGCCCACUUUAGCAGCGACCCCUCCGUCGCUUUCUUUCCCCGUUGAUGGGUCCGUCAAGCGAGUAGCCACGUUCCAAACAAUGGGUCCGUCAAGGGAGUAGCCACGUUCGGAACAGCUGUGCAGCUUGAUCGCUGGAGAGAAGCAGAUCACGCCAUGUUGCCUGCAUAAACCAAGUUGAGCUUCAUGUGAUGUGCCGUACCGUUUUGGUCGAUUUUUGCUGGCUACUUCCGCUUUUAAUAAGAAAUAAUGAUUCCACACACACGCAAAUGGCAUCGACAAGCACGUGAACAACAUUAUUCCACCAAAAGCAAGCAAAGAAACAAACAAGCAUGUGCUUGGCAGCCCGUGUGUGUGUGAGGCAAAUCAUGGCGAUGGCAACCUAGCCUAACCUAACCUGCAUCAUGAGCGACAACACCUGGAUCUCGCCAUUGCCGGCGCCGGCGGCGGAAUCUCAGCUCCUCACCCACCUUGGACCUUGCAUUGCAUGCUCUGCUCUUCUACUAACACAGCUGUGGAGAUCUCUCUUGGUCUGAUGAAUUGUAACCUGAUG